rnacentral:lncRNA from 1 species
GGGAUAACAAUGGGGACACCCAUGGGGCCCACCAAUGGAAAUGGUGAUGGAGACAUUGAUGGGGACACCUAUGGGGACAACCCUGGAGAAACCCAUGGGGACACCUAUGGGGGCAACCAUAGGGACAUGGAUGGGGACAUUGAUGGAGACCAGCGAUGGAGACACCCAUGGGGACACCUAUGGGGUCCACCAAUGGAUCUGAGAUGUCUACAGGGAUGCAAAGAAUGGGGCACUGCGGACAAUUAAGGCCGUGGGGCUUAACGAGCAUCUCGUUACGUUGGGUUUCCCAGGGAGAAAAUCAGUGAAGGUGACAUUGUGUUGAGUUGAGAACCAUCGUCGGAUGGAGAUGAUGUUGAGUUGAAGACCAGCAACACAACGGAUGUGGCACUGUUGAGUUGAGGACCACCAACCCAUGGAGGUGACGUUGUGUUGAGUUGGGAACCAUCAUCAGAUGGAGAUGACGUUGAGUUGAGGACCACCAACCCAAUGGGGGUGAUGUUGUGUUGAGCUGAGGACCACCGAUCAAUGAAGGUGACAUUGCACUGAGGACCACCGACCCAUGAAGAUGACAUCACGUGGAGUUGACACUGCAUAUUCCUGACCCCAAACAUGGUGCCCACCUCCCUUUGCCACCACCCCUUGAAACAAAAGGAACAUUUCACCCCACCAUCACAACAACGCACCCAUCCAUCAGUUACGUUACACUUCAUGCAGUGCUAUGGACAGAAAUUGGUGUCACACCGCCUGCAGAUGUGGUGUCACGGUGAGAUACGGCAGCACGCCCCGGGACGAAGGAGCUUUUAUCAUCAUUCUUAAUACAUUGAUCACCAACACUAAAAGGAGAGGGGGAAAAAAACCCCUUGAGCUACGGCAGGCGUUUCCAACAGAGCAACAAAACAACCAAAAAAAGGAAACAGUGGGACACGUUUCAGCCAUUUGGAGGAAUUUUUACAGCUUUAGGAAGAACGAACGUGGGAGGCUUCUUCCUGCCCAGAGGUAAAUCUGAUUAUUGAGAAUAAGAGGUUUCUCAAUUAACAGCUGUUACAGAGCCAACAGUCAUAGAAUUAGAAUACACCGAACGUGGAGGAACCCAUUGGGACCAUUGAGUCCAACCCAUGGAUCAUCCCAAGCUGGGAGGAACCCAUAAAGGUCAUUGAGUCCAACCCAUGGAGCAUCCCAAGCUGGGAGGAACCCGUUGGGACCAAUGAGUCCAACCCAUGGAUCAUCCCAAGCUGGGAGGAACCCAUCAGGACCACUGAGUCCAACCCAUGGAGCAUCCCAACUUGAGAGAAACUCGUACAGAUCAUUGAGUCCAACUCACAGAACACCCCAACUUGGAGGGAACCCAUCAACACCAUCAACUCCAACAACACAACUCCGUAUUUCCACACCGGCAAAUAACUCCGAGAAAUACGCUCAAGUACUUAAAGGAAACCCCCGACUUCGUGAUGUCCCUCCUAUUGCGAGCCGCGCGUAUCCGACACACCCAUGGCAAUGAGUCACGUCGCUCCCCGGAGGUGCGAGCAGUUUGGUGAGGAAGUCUGAAGAUCCUGAGAGUAUUUCCAUUGCUGCUGGUCUGUAACCAAAGGGGGGGAAAAAAUAGUGCAUUUCACUACGGACAAACCGAGUCAGAAUCGAGCGAUGCCGCUGCCUUGAUAACCAGAGGUGUAUGCUAUAAAAGAACCGGUAAAAAAACCUUGUAAAUCACACACUCAUCUUUAAUAUCAUCGAAAGAAAAUAGUUAAGAAUGCGAGAACUGUUUUACAGGUUAAAAAAAUAUCUUUGAAACCAUCUGAUCUUAAAAAUAGACAAUAGUAGUGAGGCUUAAAAUACAACCACUCGCAUCAAAAAUGUUCCCAAAGCAGCACCACCGCCCCGGGGGCCGUUAGGAUAACGGGUCGGUCGUUAGGAACGUGGUGUGGGUUGUAGGGGUCACUUUGUCACCAUCCGAGUCCAACACAGCUUUCCCUUUGCUGGAGGAUGCCGAGCAUUCCUGAUGGGAGCCCUCGGUGAGCUUGGAGGUGGAGCGAGCCAUCGAGCCGCCGUGGCUCCCGUUGGUCUGCGAGCAGACGUUGCUGACCUUCGCUGCCUUGUUUUUGUGGUGGUUGUUGUACACUUUGUACUUCAUCAGGAGGAUGAAGAUGAAGACGAGCACCGACGCCACGAUGAUGCCCCCGAUGAUGAUGAUCAUGGUGCCCCCGAGGAACUGAGCGUGGAGGGACCGGCACUGCUUGUACUCCUCUUGGGUGGUGAACUGCACGCAGCCGAUCACCCUGGUUGCAGUCAGAGAUGUCAGCCCGUCGUCGUACACGGCCAGGACGCAGAGGUCGUACUCACGUCCUGCAACCAGAUCAGUCAAGAAGAAGGAUUUACUAGCAGCUGGGAUCAUCCUGGAAGAGAGAAUACGUACAGUAAACAUCCAAACGGGUCAAACCUUCGGAUUCCUCUUCAGUCUACUCGCUGGCAACCGGCCCGCCGCCACGGGUUGGAGAUGGAUGGGCUUUAAGGUCCCCUCCAACCCCAUCUUCUGGGAUCCUGUGGUUUUGUGGCCUUGGAGGUCCCUCCCGACCCAACUGUUGGAGGAUCCCAUGGUUCUAUGACCCUUAAGGACCCUCCAACCCAACUACUGUAGGAUCCCAUGGUUCUGGGAUUCCUAAGGUUGCUUCCAACCCAACCGUUGGAGGAUCCCAUGGUUCUAUGACCCUUAAGGACCCUCCAACCCAACCACUGUAGGGUCCCGUGGUUCUGAGAUACCUAAGGUCGCUUCCAACCCAACCAUUGUAGGAUCCUGGGGUUUUAUGACUUCUAAGGUCUCUCCAACCCAACCACUGUAGGAUCCCGUGGUACUAUGAUCUUUAGAAGCUUUUCCUCCCCAGCCUUUUGAGGACUUCAUGAUUUUAUGAUCUUUAAGAUCCCUUCCAACCCAACCAUGGUAGGAUCCCGUGGUUCUAUGAUCCUUAAGUUCCCUUCAACCCAACCACUGUGGGAUUCCAUGGUUCUCUGAUCCUUAUUGUCCCUCCCAACUCAACCAUUGUAGGAUCUCAUGGUCCUAUGAUGUUCCUCAAGGUUCCUCCCACCCCAACCAUUAUAGGAUUGCACAGUUCUACCAUCUUUAAGGUCCCAUUAAAAAGGAAGGGGAAAAAAAUGAGUUUUUAUACAUUUCCAACCCAAUUUUUAAUGUGUUCAGGCUGGAAAGGAAGAAGAGCAGCACCUUAUUGUGAAGGACAUCCCCCAAAUACACACACAGCCUCUUCAGUCAGAGGCACCAAAUUUAAUCAACUAUAGCAAAGAAUAAAAGAAGAAACCUCCGUGUCCGUGCACCAUUCGUAGGAGCACCAAAGGAGGAGAGCACCAAAAAUCCCUCCUGAGCUCCCUGGGCUCCAUUUCAGCACCAAACGAUCUCCCUGUGGGCGUUCUCCCCUAAUUAAUCCACAUUUCCCCAAAUCUUAACUGCUAAUUGAUGGUGGCAGCGUUUUGAUCCGCACGGAGUGCAGCCACGUGCUGCGUCUAAGGGGUAAUUAAUUUGUUGGGUUUAUUAUUUUCUGCAGGAAAAAAAUGGGUUUGGAGUGAAAUCUGUACAGUGAUUCAUUUGUCACCCGAUGACGUGAGCAGCUCUGAGUGUGUAGAUAAUGAGAAAUUGAACCCAGUGCUAACGAAUGGGAAGACUCACAACAUCAUCAACUGCUGGGAGGGGUGCAGUAAGAAUUCCUUGGCAUUCAGUGCCCUAAAAUAUAUUCUAACGAUCAAUUAGCAGGGAAGCAAUUAAUGAUUCUGUGUUAUUUCACAGUGGGCAGUCACAAGAGGUGGGCCAGAGGACUCCACGGGUUAGAGGAUUCCAAUGGUUGGAGGAUUCUAUGGGUUGGAGGACUUCAAUGGUUGGAGGACUCGGGUUGGAGGACUCUACAGGUUGGAUGACUUUACAGGUUGGAGGGCUCCAAGGGUUGGAGGACCCCACAGGUCAAAGGAGUCCACGAGUGGAGGACUUCAGGGGUUUGAGGACUCAGGGGUUGGAGGACUCUGUGAGUGGAACAUUGCUUGAAAACCACAAAACCACCCCAAAAACUCAGAGCACAACGAGCAGAAUAACAAACAGCGCAAGGCACAAAAUUAAUGAGGGGAUGUUGAUGAGGAGCUAUAGGUGGGAAACCCCAUUUGGGGGCACUCUAUGGGAUUCCUGUCCAUGGGGCCCAUCUGCGAGAGGGAGGAGUAAUUGACAACUAAUUAUGCAAAGCACCAUUUUCCCAAAAUCCUCAUAAUUUGGGUGAUUCAGCCGCCGCCGAGUGCUCGUUUUUCAUCAUGGUUUGUUAUGGCGGGGAUGACUCAGCAAAGAGGUCGGGAUGGAAAUGUGACUAAUUACCAUAACGAGCUACGUGUGGUGUGCGCCGUAUCACAGCUGUGAUGGACCCACGUGUGAUGGAACAGAAAAUGGGAGAAUGGUUCAAAAUCCGCCUCACCGCUCCUGAAUGAAGACCAAAAUCCUUCCCUUGGAAUUCUAUAUUUUCAGCUUUUCCAAAUGCAACACAUUGGGGUUUUCAGUACAGAACUGAGAAAAGAAUUUUUCAUCCCCCAAAUAACUGCCUUUUAUUCCAAAAUAACUCUACUUGAUCCCCAAAUAACUCUAGGUUACGUCUUUUCCUUUGAAACCCUUUGUGUUUCACACUCAAACAACGACAAAACGCAACAGAAAUCCCCAAACUAAGAUCCUGAAACAAUAAC